GACGAACGCUGGCGGCGUGCUUAACACAUGCAAGUCGAACGGAAAGGCCCUGCUUUUGUGGGGUGCUCGAGUGGCGAACGGGUGAGUAACACGUGAGUAACCUGCCCUUGACUUUGGGAUAACUUCAGGAAACUGGGGCUAAUACCGGAUAGGAGCUCCUGCUGCAUGGUGGGGGUUGGAAAGUUUCGGCGGUUGGGGAUGGACUCGCGGCUUAUCAGCUUGUUGGUGGGGUAGUGGCUUACCAAGGCUUUGACGGGUAGCCGGCCUGAGAGGGUGACCGGCCACAUUGGGACUGAGAUACGGCCCAGACUCCUACGGGAGGCAGCAGUGGGGAAUAUUGCACAAUGGGCGGAAGCCUGAUGCAGCAACGCCGCGUGCGGGAUGACGGCCUUCGGGUUGUAAACCGCUUUCGCCUGUGAUGAAGCGUGAGUGACGGUAAUGGGUAAAGAAGCACCGGCUAACUAUGUG
rnacentral:rRNA from 1 species